GGUAACUUGCUGGGUUCCUUUCCCAGCAGUGUGGAAGCUUUGUUCUUUUGCUCUUUGCGCUAAAUCUUGCUGCUGCUCACUCUGGUCUUUGGGUCAGUACUGCCUUUAUGAGCUGUAAUACUUACUGCUAAGGUCUGUAGCUUCACUUCUGAGCCAGCAAGACCAUGAACCCACCAGAAGGAGGAAACUCGGAACACAUCCAAACAUCAGAAGGAACAAACUCCAGACGCACUGCCUGUAAGAACUGUAACACUCACUGCGAGGGUCUGUGGCUUCAUUCUUGAAGUCAGUGAGACCAUAGAACCCACCAAUUCCGGACACAGGGAUAGAGCAGUGACCAUCUAAGGGCUCUCAGGGCCAGGCCGGGAGCCAGGAAGAGCAGCUGCGUCGGAGCUGGGCAGCUUUUGGGGUCCGUGGGUCACUGUCAACUGGACUUUGCAUCCAGGAAGCGUUGGUUCCUUUUACAGAGUGUCACUGUGAUAGUGGGGUGUGUUCGUGUUUUACACGUUUAAAAUGGUGCUGGAUGCCUGACAGAGCCCUCAUGACUGUUUAACACAUUUUCUUGAAAUCACAAAAUUGACUAUAAAAUGUUCCUCGGAAGUUUUCCAGACUGCGGGCAUCCUGGAACACCGGCCAGUUUUCACCUGUUUCUGGACGUUGUGUCGUGGAGCCGUCUUUGUAAGGGACUCGGAUCACGCGUUUUCUUUGCUGAGUCGCCUUCCACGUGGCUUUGUCUGUUCUGUGGUUGGGGCGUCUCCUCCCUCCCACACGGGGUGUGCUGUGCCACCCUUGGAGGGCCUUCUCCCAUCGGGCCCCGCAUCUCCCGCCUGGCCUGUGGAGUGGAGUCCCCUGCCCUUGCUGCUGCUGUGGCCUCAUCUCCCAACUCAGCCUUGGCCUCCAGUGACAGGGCUGGAACCCUGGCAGCAGAGCCACCACGGCAGCGACUCAGCUGUGGCCUCCGGUGACAGGGCCGGGACCCCAGCAGGACCUCCACCAUGGUGGCAAGGCCUGGACCCCAGUGUGGGAUCACGCUUCUGCAGGUGCUGGGGGGCUGCAUGGCCGACUUCAGGGGGCAGGAAAAUGAUGCUUUGUCUUUGGAGAGGGAGGAUGUGGGACAAGCUGCCAGCUGUCCCUGAUGAAGUUGCCUGGGCACACCAGAGUGUGGGAGAGUGGACGGCGCGGCCCCUCCUGCACUUGGAGCUGCUCUCAGAUCUUGGGCUGUGACCCCUGUGGGUGACACGAAGUUCAGUGAUUGUCCUCCUUCUGGACUGAGGGACAUCCAUCCACACGCGCCCCCUCCACAGCCCGAUCCCAUCACGUCCUGCUCGUCCAACAUGGGCCUUAGAUCCUGGGGUCUCUGCUGAGUGCCUCCCCUCUGAACGCCCGGCUGGCACUUUCACGGUGAAGCCAGCUGUCAUGGACACCGACGGCAGGUGGCCUUUCUGCGUUGUCUACCGGCUGAUCUUGAAAGUGAAAACGGACAUUGUCUGCCCUGUGGUGACCGUGUUGGGUGAUGGUCCUGGGGUCAGGCCCUGCAUGCACCUUCACCCAGGGAUGGCUUCUUAGCUGACAGCGGCUCUGCCAGGAACCACGAUCACCCUCCAGUUUGCUCUUUGUGCUGAAUUUUAUUGACAUGAAAUUCGCAUGACGCCAACUUUAUCGUUUUAAAGUGAAUGGUUAAACAGAAUGCGGCACUUUCACAGGGCGGCAUGACCCCCACCUCUGUCUGCCUUCAGAACAUUUUCAUCCCCCACGAAAGGAGGAAGCGCAGUCCCCAGGAACAGUUACUCCUCAUUUCCCCUCCCCAGCUCUGGCUUCCGCAACCACGAAUCUGCUUUCUGUCUCCGUGAAUUUGCCUCUUUCGGAUAUAUUUCACGUAAAUGGAGUCCCGUGAUAGAUGAGCUGUGUCUGCCUCUUGCGGGCAGCACAGUGUCUGGAAGGUUCUCCGUGCAGCCGCAGGGGUUGGCGCUUCCUUCCUCCCGAGGCUGACCCGGCCCCGUCGUACGGGGAGUCCACUGUGUGUCUGUCUUUUGGCUGCUGUGAGCCUGGGUGUGCCGCCUGCUCCAGCCCAUGUUUUCAGCUCUUUCAGGUGUGGAGGGAGGAGUGGAAUUGUGGGAUCAUAUUGUAACUUUAACUUUGGAAGGAUCUGCCAAAUUACCCCUCUAAUUUGUUUUCAAUUUUAUUCUUAUUUCCCUGUCACUUGUUCUUUCUUUUGACUGGUUAAAAAAAAUGGCAAAGGUCUUCAGCAAAACAAGAAGUGAGUUUCAAUUGAACCGUGAAUUAAAUAUGAUACACUCAAAAUCUGACCAAUAAUACAUUUUAAUUUUCCCCACACAUUUACGUCCACGUUAAUUUCAUGGAAAUCAAGAUGCUUUUGCCUCUGUUCUAAAGUAUUUAUUUUUUUUAAGACAGGUUCUUACUCUGUUGCCCAGGCUGGAGUGCAAUGGCGCGAUCUCAGCUCACUGCAGUCUUGACCUCCCAGGCUCAAGCAAUCCUCCUGCCUCAGCCUCCUGAGUAGCUGGGACCACAGGUGUGCAUCACCAUGCCUGGCUAAUUUGUUACAUUUUUAGUAGAGACGGGGUUUCACCAUGUUGGCCAGGCUGGUCUGGAACUCCUGACCUGAAGCGAUCCUCCCACCUCAGCCUCCCACAGUGCUGGGAUUACAGGCGUGAGCCACCACGUGCAGCCUGAAAGUAUUUUUUUUUAGAGUUUCCUAAAAGUUUCAUCAUCCCUUUUGUUUUCCUAACAAGCUGUGAAACCCAGUGGGUUUUAAUUGUGAAUCAGCACCAAAACACAUGCAGAUUUAAUUUUUAAUUGAAAUGAUGGACAAUAAACAGAAUUAAUAACUCAAAUGCUUGAAGUCUGUCAAGCAUGGUGCUUUGUCUUUGCCAUGGACAUGAAAAAGCAGCAUUCCCCUCCGGACUUGAGGCUGGGGACCUUCUGAGUCAGAGCAGCCCCUCCC
rnacentral:lncRNA from 1 species